CCCUGAUGGUUGUGAGCACAAACUGAUCGUAGUGUUCUUCUGAUCUCGUUGAUUUCAACAAUUAAGGGAUAACAUAGCAUCUCUCUCCACUGUGAUUUCAGCAUCCAGGAAACUUCCAUUGGACUUUGGAAGAUGUUUCCAAAUCAAUUGUUUACAUAAUGUCUAGCCCAUGCCAAGCUGGCUAUACACAGAUGCUCAAUGAUUGGUAUGAUAGAGAGAUUGAUGCUAUUAAUGAACCUUAUCGUCCUAUUCCUUCAGGGGAAAUAUCUGAGAAUGAGGAAACAAGUCUUUUAAAAUUCUUUCCCUCAGGUGAUUACCCAAAUCUGGGUACUGCUUUUGGGAGGCCUUGGGUUGGCUGGUUUAUUGGAUGCGUGGGCAGGGCAGGGUAGGGCAUUGCUUUAGGUAGAUCCUUUCAGCUCAACCUUUGAAGGUAACUCCACUAACAAGACCGGGCAUGCAAGUCUAGUGAGCAUCAAGUAGCACAGCAGGUGACUGCUUGUGCGCAUUCUACCACAUUAACAGCACACCUACAAUGGUGGAUUGAUACGUAUACUGAAAUUUUCAAGAACCCUCUACCCUUAUAGCAGUUUAUCAGCAGUUUGAUCUUGUGAUAUUUAAGGAGUGAUGGGGUUUUUUGUUUUUUUGGUAAGAAGAGUGGUUAAAUGUUUAAUUGUUAGUAAUUGCUUUUU